GUGCAGCAAUAGGUCCAACGCGUUUCGUUCACAACUAGAACUUCAUCAGGGACCGCACAGUAAAAAAUCACAGACAAUAUCAUAGAUUGUAAAAUAACAUCCUGUCUGAUCCACUCUGAUACCUGCCAGUCAAUGCUGCAGUUAUUCUCUGUGCCAUGAUAUGCAUGUGCCAGGCUAUUUCUGGACUACCUCAUAAUUAUACAGCCAACAUAUACUGUCCAACUGUUACCCAGGCUUGCUGAUUAGCCUGGGAGCCAAUCACAGAAAUAAAAUGCCUUGGAAAAAAACAGUGUUUAUUCCUUACCCCAUAGUGUUAAAACCACAAUCUAGCCCCCCCUUUCCACCCUUAAAUAUAGUAAAAUCUUACUUUUAUUCCAGUCUGCUAGUGCUAGAGCCUCCUGGGUGAUCACCCCCACCGGUCCAGGGGGGGUUUGCGGGGCUCCAAAUGCUGUACGCAUUUCUGUGUUCACCGUGCUGGGAGAUCGCCCGCCUCUCCCCUCCCUAGCAUCCACUAGGCCCAAGUGGCAGUGCGGCCGGACGACCGUAAUGACCGCAGGGUGCGUUCCCAGAACGGUCAGUCGAUUUGGGGGUUCAAGAUUAUGUUGCCAGUCGCUGAUUGAGAGUCACCGUUUCAGGUAAGUAUAGUCUUUUCCUCGAUUCACUGGGUCCUCUCUAAAAUUGCGUCUUGUUGAUAAGCAGGCCCCGCCCCCCAGUACUUCUUUUUUCUGCACAUUUCCUUAGAAAUGCUCCCGCCCACUUGUUCCCACGUAGAGGGGAAGGGGCGGGAGCGAGAAAUUGAAGCGCCCUCGUGCUGCUGCCGCCAUUGGAUGUCUGGGAGGGUGGUCGUGGCUGAGCGCGUUGAUUGGUAUGCCGCCGGACCAGUGUUUUACCGGGCACUAGUGAGCAGCAAUGUAAGAGUUCCCUAGCGCCUGGGAACAUAGCUGGCGGCACGCUAGAAAUAAUAGGUGGCGGCCCCCCUUUAAGCAGCGCCCUAUGCGGCCGCCUCAUUGGCCUAUAGGAAGCGCCGGCCCUUCUUGGCACCAUAACAACUACAGCAUGUUGGUUAAGAAGCCCUGGUUUAUACACUAUUGAAAGCUAAGAUGAGUACAUUUUUUGGUGGUUUGAGGUUGGUGUUGCAUUUCUAGAUAUUGAUUUGGGAACUUUAAAAGGGUGGACUUUUUGAUUUUGAUAUUUUAUCUAAUGGAACACUAUAUGGUCAGGAACACAAACCUGUAUUCCUGACCCUAUAGUGUUAAAAACAUUAUCUGUCCUCCCCUUGCCUCCCUAAAUAUUGUUUACCAUUAUUCCAGUCUGCUGGUGCUGGAUCUGCCCCAUAUCUGCCUCCUUGGCUGACAUCAUCAGAAGUGGUGAUCCACAAUGCCUUGAUGGUUAUAAUUGUGUUUCAUCGUUAAUGUGCUUUUCUUUCACUGCCGAUAGCUAAUAAGGCCACUAAUAUUCAUUAUUACCUCAUUUAAGAGAUACCUGUAUAUGUUCAAUUUCAGUGCCCCGUUAUAAAGAUGUAAAUUUAGUGCAGUUCAAAUAAACUCAAAACGACAUUAGAAAAUAAACAAUUAGAUCUUUUUACACAAACAGGAAGCAUAUGCAAAACUGCAACCGCAUAUCCUGCUUUGUUAGCAGGAUGUGAGGCAAUGCAUAAGUGUCACAAAAAAAUAG